rnacentral:rRNA from 1 species
UAGGGAAUCUUCCGCAAUGGACGAAAGUCUGACGGAGCAACGCCGCGUGAGUGAAGAAGGAUUUCGGUUCGUAAAACUCUGUUGUUAGGGAAGAAAAAAUGUAUAGUAACUAUAUACAAAAGAGACGGUACCUAACCAGAAAGCCACGGCUAACUACGUGCCAGCAGCCGCGGUAAUACGUAGGUGGCAAGCGUUGUCCGGAAUUAUGGGCGUAAAGCGCGCGCAGGUGGUUUAGAAAGUCUGAUGUGAAAGCCCACGGCUCAACCGUGGAGGGUCAUUGGAAACUAAUAAACUUGAGUGCAGGAGAGAAAAGUGGAAUUCCUAGUGUAGCGGUGAAAUGCGUAGAGAUUAGGAGGAACACCGGUGGCGAAAGCGGCUUUUUGGCCUGCAACUGACACUGAGGCGCGAAAGCGUGGGGAGCAAACAGG